rnacentral:rRNA from 1 species
UCUGCCUUUGUACACACCGCCGUCGCUACUACCGAUUGAAUGGCUUAGUGAGGUCUUGGGAUUGGCUUCGAGGAGCCGGCAACGGCACCUCGUCGCUGAGAACUUGAUCAAACUUGGUCAUUUAGAGGAAGUAAAAGUCGUAACAAGGUUUCCGUAGGUGAACCUGCGGAAGGAUCAUUAUCGAGUUUUGAAAAGGGUUGUAGCUGGCCUUCGGCAACAAGUCGGAGGCAUGUGCACGCCUGGCUCAUCCACUCUCAAACCCCUGUGCACCUUUUGUAGGCUUCGGCAGAGAGGACUGACUUCGGUCGGUUCAGAGANAGCCUUGUGCCUAUGUCACACAUACAAAUCCCUUCAGCUUAAAAUUUUUAGAAUAGUACACGAACUCGUGCGCCCUCGGUGCAACGAAAUAAAUACAACUUUCAGCAACGGAUCUCUUGGCUCUCGCAUCGAUGAAGAACGGCAGCGAAAUGGCAUUAAUUAUGGGUGAAUUGCAAAAUUCAGUGAAUCAUCGGAAUCUUUGAACGCACCUUGCGCUCCUUGGUAUUCCGAGGAGCAUGCCUGUUUGAGUGUCAUGAAAUUCUCAACCUUUGAAGCUUUUUUUUGAGCUCGCAAAGGCUUGGACUUGGAGGUCGUGUCGGCUCGUAACAAACUCCACUCCUCUGAAAUGCAUUAGUGUGAAACCUUCGCAGGAUCCGCCUUCGGUGUGAUAAUUGUCUACGCCGUCGGUCGUGAAAGUCGAAACAUACGUGUUCACGCUUCUAAUCGUCCGUCGAGGACAAACUUUUUUCUUGACCAUCGACUCAAUCAGGAGGACUACCGCGAA